CAGUCGCCACGGUAAUACGUAGGGUGCGAGCGUUAAUCGGAAUUACUGGGCGUAAAGCGUGCGCAGGCGGUUUUGUAAGACAGGCGUGAAAUCCCUGGGCUCAACCUGGGAAUGGCGCUUGUGACUGCAAAGCUAGAGUGCGGCAGAGGGGGAUGGAAUUCCGCGUGUAGCAGUGAAAUGCGUAGAUAUGCGGAGGAACACCGAUGGCGAAGGCAAUCCCCUGGGCCUGCACUGACGCUCAUGCACGAAAGCGUGGGGAGCAAACAGGAUUAGAUACCCGUGUAGUCCCUGUCUCUUAUAA
rnacentral:rRNA from 1 species